CUGGCGGCGUGCUUAACACAUGCAAGUCGAACGCUUCACUUCGGUGAAGAGUGGCGAACGGGUGAGUAAUACAUAAGUAACCUGGCAUCUACAGGGGGAUAACUGAUGGAAACGUCAGCUAAGACCGCAUAGGUGUAGAGAUCGCAUGAACUCUAUAUGAAAAGUGCUACGGGACUGGUAGAUGAUGGACUUAUGGCGCAUUAGCUUGUUGGUAGGGUAACGGCCUACCAAGGCGACGAUCCGUAGCCGACCUGAGAGGGUGACCGGCCACAUUGGAACUGAGACACGGCCCAGACUCCUACGGGAGGCAGCAGUAGGGAAUUUUCGGCAAUGGGGGAAACCCUGACCGAGCAACGCCGCGUGAAGGAAGAAGUAAUUCGUUAUGUAAACUUCUGUCAUAGAGGAAGAACGGUGGAUAUAGGGAAUGAUAUCCAAGUGACGGUACUCUAUAAGAAAGCCACGGCUAACUACGUGCCAGCAGCCGCGGUAAUACGUAGGUGGCGAGCGUUAUCCGGAAUUAUUGGGCGUAAAGAGGGAGCAGGCGGCACUAAGGGUCUGUGGUGAAAGAUCGAAGCUUAACUUCGGUAAGCCAUGGAAACCGUAGAGCUAGAGUGUGUGAGAGGAUCGUGGAAUUCCAUGUGUAGCGGUGAAAUGCGUAGAUAUAUGGAGGAACACCAGUGGCGAAGGCGACGAUCUGGCGCAUAACUGACGCUCAGUCCCGAAAGCGUGGGGAGCAAAUAGGAUUAGAUACCCUAGUAGUCCACGCCGUAAACGAUGAGUACUAAGUGUUGGGUGUCAAAGCUCAGUGCUGCAGUUAACGCAAUAAGUACUCCGCCUGAGU
rnacentral:rRNA from 1 species